rnacentral:rRNA from 1 species
GACAGAGGUGCCGAGCGUUAGGCGGAAUCACUGGGCUUAAAGCGUGUGUAGGCGGAUCGUUAAGUACCUUGUGAAAUCCCCCGGCUCAACCGGGGAACUGCUGGGUAUACUGGCGAUCUUGAGCAAUCUAGGGGCAGAUGGAACAAGUGGUGGGGCGGUGAAAUGCGUAGAUAUCACUUGGAACGCCAAAGGUGAAAACAGUCUGCUGGGGAUUUGCUGACGCUGAGACACGAAAGCCAGGGGAGCGAACGGG